rnacentral:rRNA from 1 species
GGGUAACCUACCUAUAAGACUGGAAUAACUUCGGGAAACCGGAGCUAAUGCCGGAUAACAUUUGGAACCGCAUGGUUCUAAAGUAAAAGAUGGUUUUGCUAUCACUUAUAGAUGGACCCGCGCCGUAUUAGCUAGUUGGUAAGGUAACGGCUUACCAAGGCAACGAUACGUAGCCGACCUGAGAGGGUGAUCGGCCACACUGGAACUGAGACACGGUCCAGACUCCUACGGGAGGCAGCAGUAGGGAAUCUUCCGCAAUGGACGAAAGUCUGACGGAGCAACGCCGCGUGAGUGAUGAAGGUUUUCGGAUCGUAAAACUCUGUUAUUAGGGAAGAACAAAUGUGUAAGUAACUGUGCACAUCUUGACGGUACCUAAUCAGAAAGCCACGGCUAACUACGUGCCAGCAGCCGCGGUAAUACGUAGGUGGCAAGCGUUAUCCGGAAUUAUUGGGCGUAAAGCGCGCGUAGGCGGUUUCUUAAGUCUGAUGUGAAAGCCCACGGCUCAACCGUGGAGGGUCAUUGGAAACUGGGAAACUUGAGUACAGAAGAGGAAAGUGGAAUUCCAUGUGUAGCGGUGAAAUGCGCAGAGAUAUGGAGGAACACCAGUGGCGAAGGCGACUUUCUGGUCUGUAACUGACGCUGAUGUGCGAAAGCGUGGGGGAUCAAACAGGAUUAGAUACCCUGGUAGUCCACGCCGUAAACGAUGAGUGCUAAGUGUUAGGGGGGUUUCCGCCCCUUAGUGGCUGCAGCUAACGCAUUAAGCACUCCGCCUGGGGAGUACGACCGCAAGGUUGAAACUCAAGGAAUUGACGGGGACCCGCACAAGCGGUGGAGCAUGGUGGUUUAAUUCGAAGCAACGCGAAGAACCUUACCAAAUCUUGACAUCCUUUGAAAACUCUAGAGAUAGAGCCUUCCCCUUCGGGGGACAAAGUGACAGGUGGUGCAUGGUUGUCGUCAGCUCGUGUCGUGAGAUGUUGGGUUAAGUCCCGCAACGAGCGCAACCCUUAAACUUAGUUGCCAGCAUUUAGUUGGGCACUCUAGGUUGACUGCCGGUGACAAACCGGAGGAAGGUGGGGAUGACGUCAAAUCAUCAUGCCCCUUAUGAUUUGGGCUACACACGUGCUACAAUGGACAAUACAAAGGGCAGCUAAACCGCGAGGUCAUGCAAAUCCCAUAAAGUUGUUCUCAGUUCGG